UACGGAGGGUGCAAGCGUUAUCCGGAUUCACUGGGUUUAAAGGGAGCGCAGGCGGAUUGGUAAGUCAGUGGUGAAAGGCUUAAGCUUAACUUGGGAACUGCCAUUGAUACUAUCAGUCUUGAAUGUUGUUGAGGUUUGCGGAAUGGGUUAUGUAGCGGUGAAAUGCAUAGAUAUGACCCGGAACACCUAUUGCGAAGGCAGCAGGCUAAACAAAUAUUGACGCUGAGGCUCGAAAGCGUGGGGAUCAAACAGG
rnacentral:rRNA from 1 species